rnacentral:lncRNA from 1 species
GCCAUUGAGCCAUGGGUGCCCGACUUCAUACCGGGGGCAAAUAUAGUCCGAUAGACGAUAGUGUGGCUGAGGUUGCUUAGGCUAUCAAUUGAGUAUUGAAAAAUGACGACCAUCAUCAGAAUCAUGGUAGAGGCAGGAAAAUCAUUGGCAAUGGAUGAUGUCAUGGAUCAGCUCCAAACACAGAGGUUGGCUUGCAUACGAGUAG